rnacentral:rRNA from 1 species
AGAGUUUGAUCCUGGCUCAGGACGAACGCUGGCGGCGUGCCUAACACAUGCAAGUCGAGCGAGGAAUGACUGGUAGCUUGCUACCGGUUAUUUCUAGCGGCGGACGGGUGAGUAACGCGUGAGCAACCUACCUUUAUCAGGGGGAUAACGCAUCGAAAGAUGUGCUAAUACCGCGUAAGACCACAGCCUCACAUGGGGCAGGGGUCAAAGGAGGAAUCCGGAUAAAGAUGGGCUCGCGUCCGAUUAGCUAGUUGGUGAGAUAACAGCCCACCAAGGCGACGAUCGGUAGCCGACCUGAGAGGGUGAUCGGCCACAUUGGAACUGAGAUACGGCCCAGACUCCUACGGGAGGCAGCA